GUCAUUCGCCCUCUAGAGACAACGCUUUACACCGAGGACUGGAUCGGUUUAAAAACCUUAGACGACGCCGGAAAGGUCCACUACAUUAAUGUCUCGGGAGGUCAUCUCGGAAUCUCCAACGACGACAUGAAAAAGCAUGUUGUACCUUCUUGAAGGAUCAAGAUUCAA